AACGAACGCUGGCGGCAGGCUUAACACAUGCAAGUCGAGCGCCCCGCAAGGGGAGCGGCAGACGGGUGAGUAACGCGUGGGAAUCUACCCAUCUCUACGGAAUAACGCAUGGAAACGGGUGCUAAUACCGUAUACGUCCUUCGGGAGAAAGAUUUAUCGGAGAUGGAUGAGCCCGCGUUGGAUUAGCUAGUUGGUGGGGUAAAGGCCUACCAAGGCGACGAUCCAUAGCUGGGCUGAGAGGAUGAUCGGCAACACUGGGACUGAGACACGGCCCAGACUCCUACGGGAGGCAGCAGUGGGGAAUAUUGGACAAUGGGCGCAAGCCUGAUCCAGCCAUGCCGUGUGAGUGAUGAAGGCCCUAGGGUUGUAAAGCUCUUGCACCGGUGAAGAUAAUGACGGUAACCGGAGAAGAAGCCCCGGCUAACUUCGUGCCAGCAGCCGCCGCGGUAA
rnacentral:rRNA from 1 species